GAGGCAGAGAUGCGUAGCUGAUGGGAAGCAGGUUAAUAUUCCUGCACCGUCGUAUGAUGCGAUGGGGGGACGGAUCGCGGAAGGUUGUCCAACUGUUGGAAUAGUUGGUUUUUGGCUCAUAGAAGGCGCUUAGGCAAAUCCGGGCGCGCAAUUCAAGGGGUUGAGACGAGUGAAUUUAUUCACGAAGCAAUCGGAAGUGGUUCCAAGAAAAGCCUCUAAGCUUCAGUCAUACGAGACCGUACCGCAAACCGACACAGGUGGGCGAGAUGAGUAUUCUAAGGCGCUUGAGAGAACUCGGGAGAAGG
rnacentral:rRNA from 1 species